CAAUAGCGUAUAUUUAAGUUGUUGCAGUUAAAAAGCUCGUAGUUGGAUUUCGGUUAAGAGCGACCGGUCCGCCGUUUGGUGUGCACUGGUUGGUUUUAACUUCCUGUAGAGGACGUGCUCUGGGUUUAACGACCUGGACUCGGAGUCUACGUGGUUACUUUGAAAAAAUUAGAGUGUUCAAAGCGGGCUUACGCUUGAAUAUUUCAGUAUGGAAUAACACUAUAGGACUCCUGUCCUAUUUCGUUGGUCUCGGGACGGGAGUAAUGAUUAAGAGGAACAGUUGGGGGCAUUCGUAUUUCAUUGUCAGAGGUGAAAUUCUUGGAUUUAUGAAAGACGAACUUCUGCGAAAGCAUUUGCCAAGGAUGUUUUCAUUAA
rnacentral:rRNA from 1 species